UACGUAGGGGGCAAGCGUUGUCCGGAAUCAUUGGGCGUAAAGAGCGCGUAGGCGGUCCGGUAAGUCCGCUCUGAAAGCCCGGGGCUCAACCCCGGGAGGCGGGCGGAUACUGUCGGGCUAGAGUCCGGAAGAGGCGAGUGGAAUUCCUCGGUGUAGCGGUGAAAGUGCGCAGAUAUCAGGAGGAACACCGAUGGCGAAGGCAGCUCGCUGGGACGGUACUGACGCCUGAGGAGCGAAAGCGUGGGAGCGAACAGG
rnacentral:rRNA from 1 species